GACGAACGCUGGCGGCGUGCUUAACACAUGCAAGUCGAACGGAAAGGCCCUGCUUUUGUGGGGUGCUCGAGUGGCGAACGGGUGAGUAACACGUGAGUAACCUGCCCUUGACUUUGGGAUAACUUCAGGAAACUGGGGCUAAUACCGGAUAGGAGCUCCUGCUGCAUGGUGGGGGUUGGAAAGUUUCGGCGGUUGGGGAUGGACUCGCGGCUUAUCAGCUUGUUGGUGGGGUAGUGGCUUACCAAGGCUUUGACGGGUAGCCGGCCUGAGAGGGUGACCGGCGACAGUGGGAAUGAGAGACGGCCCAGACUACGACGGGAGGCAGCAGGGGGGAAUAGGGCACAAGGGGCGGAAGCCUGAUGCAGCAACGCCGCGUGCGGGAUGACGGCCUUCGGGUUGGAAACCGCUGUCGCCUGUGACGAAGCGGGAGUGACGGUAAUGGGUAAAGAAGCACCGGCUAACUACGUG
rnacentral:rRNA from 1 species